rnacentral:sRNA from 1 species
GUGACGGCUGUCACAGGCGUACGGUCGAUCGCACGACGGGUUCGGGAGUGACAAUUCCGAAGAGCCGGCAUAAGGGUUGAAAG